rnacentral:rRNA from 1 species
UACAGAGGGUGCAAACGUUGCUCGGAAUCAUUGGGCGUAAAGCGCACGUAGGCGGCCCAGCAAGUGGGGAGUGAAAGCCCUCGGCUUAACCGAGGAAGUGCUUUCCAAACUACUGGGCUUGAAUACUGGAGAGGGUCGCGGAAUUCCCGGUGUAGAGGUGAAAUUCGUAGAUAUCGGGAGGAACACCAGUGGCGAAGGCGGGCAUCUGGGCCAACACUGACGCUGAGGCGCGAAAGCUAGGGGAGCAAACAGG